rnacentral:lncRNA from 1 species
CUCAAUACAACAGACAUGAGUGAUUCCUUGACAAGUAAUUUUCCCCAUCACAACUUACCAUCCCCGUUUUGAUGUCAAACUCAUGCAAACAAAUUCGGAUGCACUCUUGAUGACACAAACAUCCUCCAGUCUAUCAAAAAAUAGGUAGGAAUCCCCAUUUACAUCAUUACAUGAGCUCAUGAAGUAGGAGGAGAGACCAAACUUGAAGAGGAGGUCGAUGAUACCUACGUAGAUUGUAAUGACUCAAGGGCGGCUGGUGAAAUCUCUAGAUCCUUCCAAUCGGGGAGGUGAGGAUGGGACAGGAGAGAAACAGUCCCCGAGCUUGCAGAGCGCGGGGAAGCGACCAAGCGCCGGCGUGGAGCUGAGGUCGCGCUUGGACGAGGCGGCGGCGUCGCUUCCGUUGAAUUGGAUCACGCCGGCGGGACGACCUCUUCUCCUCGUACAAAGCCACCGGAGCUAGUUCACGACCGCAGGGAUAUAGUGACCUGUUUUGCUGGCCUUCGGCGAUGGGGAACCGUCGUGGCGGCGGUGGAUGGACGGUCUGGUGGAGAUGGUGUGGAAUAUGGCACCUCCCCUACCAGUCUCCCACGACCCAUAGAAAGUGGGCUUUCUUCCAAAA